ensembl:antisense 9630028B13Rik RIKEN cDNA 9630028B13 gene
GCAGAGCUUAAUUAAACCAUUGAACCACAAGUACCCAGCUGAGCCUUUGGGGGAGCACGGAUCAGAGCACCGAGGCCCGUCUCCAACCUCAGAACUGACAUGAUGCAGCGCUGAGAAGCUAAGGAGAGGAAGCCUGGAAAAGCAUGCCACCAAGGAACUCAGACGGAAAGAAAUCCUACUGUAAAGUCACAGGUACAAGAAGCCCACAUAAAGAACACAUCCACUGCUAAUAGCACCUUUGGAAGAGCACCUGCCAGACUCAACAAAUUUGCCACUGCCACCUGGGGGUAGGUAUUUACCUGCUUCGGUGUCUGUCUGGGCCCUGGGCCCUGAGCAGUAACAGCAUUCUAAGAAGAUGACAUAGUUAAGAACAUUGAAAAACAGCCCGAUGACUCCGGCACUGAGAACCAGCAGAGGCUCCUCUGUCUUCUGGGGACUAAUGUACCUUUUGAUGGCUUCUACCAGGAUGCUGAACAUCAGGGCCACAGCAAACACGGAAUUGCCAAAUGCCCCUAGGACAUCUGCCCGGAGAAAGCCGUACGUGCUCUUCCUGUGCUGCCUGACAUUGCUGGCCCUGACGCCAAAUAGUCCGAUGAUCAUGGACAACAAGUGGGAGAGGACAGCGAAGGCAUCGGAGGCCAGGGAGAGGGAGUUCCCUAUGUGUGCGACCACUAGCUCCAUCACAAAGAGGACCACACUGACCACACACAUGAGGACCAGACGGCAGCUUCGGCCUGAGUAUCGCCCCAUAGCCACGGAGGCUCCUCUUUCUCAGGAAGGCAAGGACUCGAAGACUAGAGAUUACAACUCCUGGAUAACUCUCUCCUUCAGCUUUUCAGCGCCUGUCAUAUUUGAAAAUCAUCUUUUAUAGGCUGCUAUAAAGUCAUAAAGCAGUUUAAAGGGCAAUUAAGCAAGACAUGUCACGUGAGCCUGGGUUUGUGGAAAUGCCAAUCACUGGCUUCAGGUGUAGACUUGAGAAUUGUUUGUUUGCAUGUUUAAUUGCAGGGCUUCAUGUCUUUCUUCCUGUAGGAGCUUACCCAUAGGUAGAGCCCUGCUAGCUUCUGACAGCAUGCAGCAAUGGCUCUGAUACAGCAAGCCGUCUGACAUCAAUGGCCAUGCCUUAUCCCCUAGGUGUGCAGUUUUGAAUGCAAUCUGUGUGAGAUGAAACCUUCUAGGGUUGCCAAUCCAGAGCUAUACAGCCAUUCUCAUUGUUUUGCCCACUGACCUCUAACCUGAGACAAAUGGUUGAGGUGCCUACUUAACACAACGAAGUGGACCUAGCUGCCAGGUUUUCCCUGCAUCCCUCAGUCCCUACCUGUGAAGGGGUCCUCCUGGUUAGCAUACCCUGCCCACUACCCUGAACUCUCCAGUUUAGGGGGUUGGGCUGCUCUUCACUAUAUAAUCCAACCAUUUUGGUUACCUGCUUUUUUUGUACCCCUUGGCCUCCUGGCUGCUGCACCUGGCUCCCCUCUCUCCCUUCCACACAUGGCCCAGCUCAGGCUGUUCACGUCCACUCUGGACUCUCUUAGAUGUCCCUGCCUCUGGCUGUGCUCUCCCACAAAUCUACAAUUAACUUUCUCCACCAUACCUAGGAAGUCAUCUUUCUUCCCCUAGUAAGCUACCCCACUUCCAGUCUUCAUAAGAAAGGCAAGAAAACCACCCCAACAGUCAGGAAGGGUUCAGACCUUCAAACUAGAGGAGCUAGUGACACAAUGUUUUAGGAAGAAAGUCAGAUAAUGACUUAACUGAUGGAACAAAUUUGGAUUCUACUUUAAAAACACCUUAUCCUGUAGGCACUUACAGCUUUUAAAGCUUAGUAGUUGUCAAGUGGCCUGAAUUGUUUGGAAGAGCUACCUGAAUUAUAAAGGUUUUGUUUUAAUUACAUGUAUUGACUGGAGGGUAGCAUGCUUGUGUCACUGGGUCCAUGCAGAGGUCAGAGAACCACCUGGAGUCUGUUCUCUCCUACCAAGUGGGUUCUGGUGGUCACCUUCUAGACAGCAGGAGUGACAAGCUACGCGCAAAGGCUGUCAGAAGAUGAAACGGUAGCAGCAUCUGCCUACGCUGAGUGCCAUGCUGUGUGACAGACAGUAACUAUAAUUGAAGUGAUUUUUUUUCACAGCUGAUCAAAACACCUUCUCUUCAGUUGUUUGAUGAAACAUUCUGCCCUCAAUUCAAGACUCAGCUGUGCAACUAGCAGCCCAAUGAACUGCUCUUGCUGUCUAAUUCCUACAAAGCCUUCAUGUAUGCGAUCUACUAGCACAAUGAGAUUAUCUGAAGUUCUUUCGUGAAGGACUAGAAAUUGCUAAGGUGUAUAACACAGGUGCCCUAGUGAUCUUGGAUCGGAGCCAUUAGCACAUCUACCUUGUUGUCUUUCGUGAGCACUGGGUAAGUAACCACUUUUGUGACUCUUAACUCAUGCAGUCUGCCUCUAAAUUCAUGGGCUCCACAUCUGAAGAUCCACUGACUUCAGGUUAAAAACAACUGAAAGCUGGGUGGUGGUGGCGCACACUUUUAAUCCCAGCACUGGGGAGGCAGAGGCAGGCGGAUCUCUGAGUUCAAGGGCAGCCUGGUCUACAGAGUGAGUUCCAGGACAACCAGGGCUACACAGAGAAACCCUGUCUCAACAACAACAACAACAACAAAUUGGAAAUUGCUAUUUGUACUUACAUGGAAACUUAAUGUAGCAACUAUUUACAACGCACUGGAUGUUGUAGAUGACCUGAAGAUAACUUUAAAGCGCAUGCCACGUGUUCAGACUACAUGGGAGUCCACUACCACCUAUUUAUACGGUAGGGUCCUAGACCACAACCUCCAUAGAUCCCAGAAGAUGACUACGCCUGGCUUCUGGCUAUUAAUUUAGCAAACAGUUCCUGCACCCUCUUAAGAAACACCCACACUUUUCACCUUGGUCAUUUCCUGAUGAGGCCACUAUGCAAAUCCACCAUGCAGCCCACUCUGACUUCAAACUCACCAUCUUCCUGCCUUAGCCUCUCAAGUGCUAGGAGCUCAGACUGAUAUCACACCUGGCAUACUAACACUCUUUAAGAUAGGAAGUUUGAAAAGGUUUUGGUAUUUCAGCAGACCCCCAAUUUUAGAAGCAAUCCAAUGUAUCAGAGAUGUGAUUUUAGGGAAUGGUUCCUAUUUUAUUGUAACUAGAGUUCCUUUAAAAAGUGACUUUUGGAAAGGGGCGGGGGAAAUAAAAAUAAAAACAGCUCCAGAGGCCCACUUGCCUCCCAGAUAACCUGGGGUCACAAUAUAAAAUGCGUGAUCUAUGUUUUAUGAUUUUGCCAUGAAUUAGAAAAACAAGUCAAAAUAAACAAUUUCAUCUCUUUAGUUUCUACUAGUUUCCUCCAAACCAACAUAUACUUUUUAGAGGACAAACUUCACUAUAAUUAAAGCCACAUAUUAGCAGC